UCGGUCCCUGUCUGCCGUGGGCGCUGGAGAAUUGAGGGGGGCUGCUCCUAGUACGAGAGGACCGGAGUGGACGCAUCACUGGUGUUCGGGUUGUCAUGCCAAUGGCACUGCCCGGUAGCUAAAUGCGGAAGAGAUAAGUGCUGAAAGCAUCUAAGCACGAAACUUGCCCCGAGAUGAGUUCUCCCUGAGACUUUAAGUCUCCUGAAGGAACGUUGAAGACGACGACGUUGAUAGGCCGGGUGUGUAAGCGCAGCGAUGCGUUGAGCUAACCGGUACUAAUGAACCGUGAGGCUUAACCUU
rnacentral:rRNA from 1 species